CGGGGAGGUAGUGACGAAAAAUAACGAUACGGGACUCAUCCGAGGCCCCGUAAUCGGAAUGAGUACACUUUAAAUCCUUUAACAAGGAUCCAUUGGAGGGCAAGUCUGGUGCCAGCAGCCGCGGUAAUUCCAGCUCCAAUAGCGUAUAUUAAAGUUGUUGCGGUUAAAAAGCUCGUAGUUGAAUCUGUGUGUCACAGUGUCGGUUCACCGCUCGCGGUGUUUAACUGGCAUUAUGUGGUACGUCCUACCGGUGGGCUUAGCUCCUCACGGGGCGGUCCAACUAAUAUCCCAUCGCGGUGCUCUUUACUGAGUGUCGAGGUGGGCCGGUACGUUUACUUUGAACAAAUUAGAGUGCUCAAAGCAGGCUACCUUCGCCUGAAUAUUAUGUGCAUGGAAUAAUGGAAUAGGACCUCGGUUCUAUUUUGUUGGUUUUCGGAACCCCGAGGUAAUGAUUAAUAGGGACAGAUGGGGGCAUUCGUAUUGCGACGUUAGAGGUGAAAUUCUUGGAUCGUCGCAAGACGGACAGAAGCGAAAGCAUUUGCCAAAAAUGUUUUCAUUAAUCAAGAACGAAAGUUAGAGGUUCGAAGGCGAUCAGAUACCGCCCUAGUUCUAACCAUAAACGAUGCCAGCUAGCGAUCCGCCGAAGUUCCUCCGAUGACUCGGCGGGCAGCUUCCGGGAAACCAAAGCUUUUGGGUUCCGGGGGAAGUAUGGUUGCAAAGCUGAAACUUAAAGGAAUUGACGGAAGGGCACCACCAGGAGUGGAGCCUGCGGCUUAAUUUGACUC
rnacentral:rRNA from 2 species